rnacentral:rRNA from 1 species
AUUGAACGCUGGCGGCAGGCCUAACACAUGCAAGUCGAGCGGAUGAAGAGAGCUUGCUCUCUGAUUUAGCGGCGGACGGGUGAGUAAUGCAUCGGAAUCUGCCUGGUAGGGGGGGAUAACGUUCCGAACGGAACGCUAAUACCGCAUACGUCCUACGGGAGAACGCAGGGGUCCUUCCGGCCUCGCGCUCUCAGAUGAGCCUAGGUCGGAUUAGCUAGUUGGUGAGGUAAUGGCUCACCAAGGCUACGAUCCGUAACUGGUCUGAGAGGAUGAUCAGUCACACCUGAACUGAGACACGGUCCAGACUCCUACGGGAGGCAGUAGUGGGGAAUUUUUCGCAAUGGGGGAAACCCUGACGAAGCAACGCCGCGUGGAGGAUGAAGGCCUUCGGGUCGUAAACUCCUGUCAACCGGGAAGAAUGCACCUGACCUAAUACGUCGGCUUGUUGACUUUACCGGUGGAGGAAGCCACGGCUAACUCUGUGCCAGCAGCCGCAGUAACAC